UACGUAGGGUGCGAGCGUUGUCCGGAAUUACUGGGCGUAAAGAGCUUGUAGGUGGUUUGUCGCGUUGUUCGUGAAAUCUCACGGCUUAACUGUGAGCGUGCGGGCGAUACGGGCAGACUGGAGUACUGCAGGGGAGGCUGGAAUUCCUGGUGUAGCGGUGGAAUGCGCAGAUAUCAGGAGGAACACCGGUGGCGAAGGCGGGUCUCUGGGCAGUAACUGACGCUGAGAAGCGAAAGCGUGGGGAGCGAACAGA
rnacentral:rRNA from 1 species